UACGUAGGGUGCAAGCGUUAAUCGGAAUUACUGGGCGUAAAGCGUGCGCAGGCGGUUUUGUAAGUCUGACGUGAAAUCCCCGGGCUUAACCUGGGAAUUGCGUUGGAGACUGCAAGGCUGGAGUCUGGCAGAGGGGGGUAGAAUUCCACGUGUAGCAGUGAAAUGCGUAGAGAUGUGGAGGAACACCGAUGGCGAAGGCAGCCCCCUGGGCCAAUACUGACGCUCAUGCACGAAAGCGUGGGGAGCAAACAGG
rnacentral:rRNA from 1 species